rnacentral:tRNA from 1 species
GGACUAUAGCUCAGUGGUAGAGUGCUUGCCUAGCAUGAGUGAGGCACUGGGUUCAAGCCUCAGGACCA